CGUGGCUACCUGGAUGGCUUAGAAGAC
rnacentral:piRNA from 1 species